GUCAAAUACCCCAACUGUGGCUACACCAGGGAAGGUGUCGGAACCUUCUUGGAAUUCAUAUGCCAGCUCACCAGGCAGCCCAGAGUGCAUUGGUUAAAAACUUCCCAGGGCUUCUGCUUAAGAUGGUGGCAUAGGAACCAUGCCAAAAGAGCAUAGGGGAGAAAAAGCCAAAACCAAACAAUAGCAGCAGCAACAUCAACAACAACAA